rnacentral:rRNA from 1 species
GGUUAAGCGACUAAGCGUACACGGUGGAUGCCCUGGCAGUCAGAGGCGAUGAAGGACGUGCUAAUCUGCGAUAAGCGCCGGUAAGGUGAUAUGAACCGUUAUAACCGGCGAUUUCCGAAUGGGGAAACCCAGUGUGAUUCGUCACACUAUCAUUAACUGAAUCCAUAGGUUAAUGAGGCGAACCGGGGGAACUGAAACAUCUAAGUACCCCGAGGAAAAGAAAUCAACCGAGAUUCCCCCAGUAGCGGCGAGCGAACGGGGAGGAGCCCAGAGCCUGAAUCAGCAUGUGUGUUAGUGGAAGCGUCUGGAAAGGCGCGCGAUACAGGGUGACAGCCCCGUACACAAAAGCGCAUGUGCUGUGAGCUCGAUGAGUAGGGCGGGACACGUGGUAUCCUGUCUGAAUAUGGGGGGACCAUCCUCCAAGGCUAAAUACUCCUGACUGACCGAUAGUGAACCAGUACCGUGAGGGAAAGGCGAAAAGAACCCCGGCGAGGGGAGUGAAAAAGAACCUGAAACCGUGUACGUACAAGCAGUGGGAGCACCCUUUGGGGUGUGACUGCGUACCUUUUGUAUAAUGGGUCAGCGACUUAUAUUCUGUAGCAAGGUUAACCGUAUAGGGGAGCCGCAGGGAAACCGAGUCUUAACCGGGCGUUAAGUUGCAGGGUAUAGACCCGAAACCCGGUGAUCUAGCCAUGGGCAGGUUGAAGGUUGGGUAACACUAACUGGAGGACCGAACCGACUAAUGUUGAAAAAUUAGCGGAUGACCUGUGGCUGGGGGUGAAAGGCCAAUCAAACCGGGAGAUAGCUGGUUCUCCCCGAAAGCUAUUUAGGUAGCGCCUCGUGAAUUCAUCUCCGGGGGUAGAGCACUGUUUCGGCUAGGGGGCCAUCCCGGCUUACCAACCCGAUGCAAACUGCGAAUACCGGAGAAUGUUAUCACGGGAGACACACGGCGGGUGCUAACGUCCGUCGUGAAGAGGGAAACAACCCAGACCGCCAGCUAAGGUCCCAAAGUCAUGGUUAAGUGGGAAACGAUGUGGGAAGGCCCAGACAGCCAGGAUGUUGGCUUAGAAGCAGCCAUCAUUUAAAGAAAGCGUAAUAGCUCACUGGUCGAGUCGGCCUGCGCGGAAGAUGUAACGGGGCUAAACCAUGCACCGAAGCUGCGGCAGCGACGCUUAUGCGUUGUUGGGUAGGGGAGCGUUCUGUAAGCCUGCGAAGGUGGCCUGUGAGGGUUGCUGGAGGUAUCAGAAGUGCGAAUGCUGACAUAAGUAACGAUAAAGCGGGUGAAAAGCCCGCUCGCCGGAAGACCAAGGGUUCCUGUCCAACGUUAAUCGGGGCAGGGUGAGUCGACCCCUAAGGCGAGGCCGAAAGGCGUAGUCGAUGGGAAACGGGUUAAUAUUCCCGUACUUGGUGUUACUGCGAAGGGGGGACGGAGAAGGCUAUGUUGGCCGGGCGACGGUUGUCCCGGUUUAAGCGUGUAGGUGUGUGUUCCAGGUAAAUCCGGUUCACUUUAACACUGAGGCGUGAUGACGAGGCACUACGGUGCUGAAGCAACAAAUGCCCUGCUUCCAGGAAAAGCCUCUAAGCAUCAGGUAACAUCAAAUCGUACCCCAAACCGACACAGGUGGUCAGGUAGAGAAUACCAAGGCGCUUGAGAGAACUCGGGUGAAGGAACUAGGCAAAAUGGUGCCGUAACUUCGGGAGAAGGCACGCUGACACGUAGGUGAAGUGAUUUACUCACGGAGCUGAAGUCAGUCGAAGAUACCAGCUGGCUGCAACUGUUUAUUAAAAACACAGCACUGUGCAAACACGAAAGUGGACGUAUACGGUGUGACGCCUGCCCGGUGCCGGAAGGUUAAUUGAUGGGGUCAGCGCAAGCGAAGCUCCUGAUCGAAGCCCCGGUAAACGGCGGCCGUAACUAUAACGGUCCUAAGGUAGCGAAAUUCCUUGUCGGGUAAGUUCCGACCUGCACGAAUGGCGUAAUGAUGGCCAGGCUGUCUCCACCCGAGACUCAGUGAAAUUGAACUCGCUGUGAAGAUGCAGUGUACCCGCGGCAAGACGGAAAGACCCCGUGAACCUUUACUAUAGCUUGACACUGAACAUUGAGCCUUGAUGUGUAGGAUAGGUGGGAGGCUUUGAAGUGUGGACGCCAGUCUGCAUGGAGCCGACCUUGAAAUACCACCCUUUAAUGUUUGAUGUUCUAACGUGGACCCGUAAUCCGGGUUGCGGACAGUGUCUGGUGGGUAGUUUGACUGGGGCGGUCUCCUCCUAAAGAGUAACGGAGGAGCACGAAGGUUGGCUAAUCCUGGUCGGACAUCAGGAGGUUAGUGCAAUGGCAUAAGCCAGCUUGACUGCGAGCGUGACGGCGCGAGCAGGUGCGAAAGCAGGUCAUAGUGAUCCGGUGGUUCUGAAUGGAAGGGCCAUCGCUCAACGGAUAAAAGGUACUCCGGGGAUAACAGGCUGAUACCGCCCAAGAGUUCAUAUCGACGGCGGUGUUUGGCACCUCGAUGUCGGCUCAUCACAUCCUGGGGCUGAAGUAGGUCCCAAGGGUAUGGCUGUUCGCCAUUUAAAGUGGUACGCGAGCUGGGUUUAGAACGUCGUGAGACAGUUCGGUCCCUAUCUGCCGUGGGCGCUGGAGAACUGAGGGGGGCUGCUCCUAGUACGAGAGGACCGGAGUGGACGCAUCACUGGUGUUCGGGUUGUCAUGCCAAUGGCACUGCCCGGUAGCUAAAUGCGGAAGAGAUAAGUGCUGAAAGCAUCUAAGCACGAAACUUGCCCCGAGAUGAGUUCUCCCUGAGACUUAGAGUCUCCUGAAGGAACGUUGAAGACGACGACGUUGAUAGGCCGGGUGUGUAAGCGCAGCGAUGCGUUGAGCUAACCGGUACUAAUGAACCGUGAGGCUUAACCUU